AGGACGAACGCUGGCGGCGUGCUUAACACAUGCAAGUGGAGCGACGAACCAGGGCUUGCCCUGGGGCAGAGCCGCGAACGGGUGAGUAACACGUGGGUUACCUGCCUCGAUGACCGGGACAACCCGAGGAAACUCGGGCUAAUACCGGAUGUGCCCGCAAGGGGAAAGGAAGCUUCGGCCUCCGCAUCGAGAUGGGCCCGCGGCCCAUUAGCUUGUUGGUGAGGUAACGGCUCACCAAGGCUUCGAUGGGUAGCUGGUCUGAGAGGACGAUCAGCCACACUGGGACUGAGACACGGCCCAGACUCCUACGGGAGGCAGCAGUGGGGAAUCUUGCGCAAUGCGCGAAAGCGUGACGCAGCAACGCCGCGUGGGGGAAGAAGGCUUUCGGGUGUAAACCCCUUUCAGUUGGGACGAAGCUUCGCCGGUGAAUAGCCGGCCGGAGUGACGGUACCUUCACAAGAAGCACCGGCUAACUACGUGCCAGCAGCCGC
rnacentral:rRNA from 1 species